GACGAAUGCUGGCGGCGUGCUUAACACAUGCAAGUCGUACGGUAAGGCCCUUUCGGGGGUACACGAGUGGCAAACGGGUGAGUAACACGUGAGUAACCUGCCCACAACUUUGGGAUAACGCUAGGAAACUGGUGCUAAUACUGGAUAUGUGCUCCUGCUGCAUGGUGGGGGUUGGAAAGCUCCGGCGGUUGUGGAUGGACUCGCGGCCUAUCAGCUUGUUGGUGGGGUAGUGGCCUACCAAGGCGGCGACGGGUAGCCGGCCUGAGAGGGUGACCGGCCACAUUGGGACUGAGAUACGGCCCAGACUCCUACGGGAGGCAGCAGUGGGGAAUAUUGCACAAUGGGCGCAAGCCUGAUGCAGCAACGCCGCGUGCGGGAUGACGGCCUUCGGGUUGUAAACCGCUUUCAGCAGGGACGAAGCUUUUUGUGACGGUACCUGCAGAAGAAGCACCGGCUAACUACGUG
rnacentral:rRNA from 1 species